rnacentral:rRNA from 1 species
UACGAAGGGGGCUAGCGUUGCUCGGAAUUACUGGGCGUAAAGGGCGCGUAGGCGGAUAUCUAAGUUGGGGGUGAAAUCCCGGGGCUCAACCCCGGAAUUGCCUUCAAAACUGGAUAUCUUGAGUUCGGGAGAGGUGAGUGGAACUCCGAGUGUAGAGGUGAAAUUCGUAGAUAUUCGGAAGAACACCAGUGGCGAAGGCGACUCACUGGCCCGAUACUGACGCUGAGGCGCGAAAGCGUGGGGAGCAAACAGG